GAUGAACGCUGGCGGCGUGCUUAACACAUGCAAGUCGAACGGAAAGGCCCAAGCUUGCUUGGGUGCUCGAGUGGCGAACGGGUGAGUAACACGUGGGUGAUCUGCCCUGCACUUUGGGAUAAGCCUGGGAAACUGGGUCUAAUACCGGAUAGGACCAUCGUUUAGUGUCGGUGGUGGAAAGUUUUUCGGUGUGGGAUGAGCUCGCGGCCUAUCAGCUUGUUGGUGGGGUAAUGGCCUACCAAGGCGUCGACGGGUAGCCGGCCUGAGAGGGUGUACGGCCACAUUGGGACUGAGAUACGGCCCAGACUCCUACGGGAGGCAGCAGUGGGGAAUAUUGCACAAUGGGCGCAAGCCUGAUGCAGCGACGCCGCGUGGGGGAUGACGGCCUUCGGGUUGUAAACUCCUUUCGCCAAGGACGAAGCGUUUUAUGACGGUACUUGGAGAAGAAGCACCGGCUAACUACGUG
rnacentral:rRNA from 1 species